UAGCCCUGCCCAAUUCCCCACAGCCCCGCCCCUAGCGCCAGGCCACACUCAUAGCCAUGGCUCCACCUCCGACCCUGUGACCCCGGCUCCUCCCCCAUGUGACUUAGAGGAUCUUCUACACAGUGAACCAGGCAUGGUCUGAGAUGAUCUUGUGGGAGGAGCUGAGGCGCAGCUGCUUCCUGCAGGCCAGCCAGACAUCAACCGCAUAACAUCCGUUCUUGUUCUUCUCCUGUGAGCAUUUCUAUGUCAUCUACUGCAAGUUCUGGGAGCUCGACCUGGACUGCGACCUCGCCAUAGACUGCCAUCUCUUCCUGGAUGAUAGACUGCGUCUUCUCUCUCCGGUGCUGUCACCCGGUGAGCAGCCUGGGAGGUGAGCGGUGUCUGGGGAGGAUGUGAUGUCACUUCUGUCCCCUCCCACCACUGACUCCAAUUCCUGUGGUAUCAUCACUGCCCCCACUUCCUGUC
rnacentral:lncRNA from 1 species